CCCCUGAGCAGACGGGGAUCUCAGGGCCGGACUCGAGUGGAACGUGGGCUCGGGCCUUUCUGGCCCUGGCCACCUGGGAAAGCCCCUGCGGCUCUGGAGGGAGCCAAUGGAGGGGGCGGUGCCAGCCCCACUCUCAAGUUUCCUCUGGUUCCAGGAUGCAGCAGGCCUGCGACAGUGCCUCCCGCUGAGGACGGACCUCGGCCUCCCUUCACCUGGCCUUCACCUGGCCUUCACCUGGCCGCUCAGGCAACCCCGAUGGGGGGCAGGUGGGGCGCUCCCCACUGCCCCUUGGGCACCAGCUCCAGGUGCAGCCCUGUAGAGAGAGUGGCCUGUACCUGCUGGUGACAGUCACCAUAUCUUCCUGCACCUGGCUGCACCCAGCUCUGUCCUGACCUGUGACCCUGAGCCCUCAGGGACCCAGGUCCCCGCUAAGCAGGACGCUGCAGAGAGUAUCGAGCUUGCUGCCACCAGAGCCCCUGGGCUGCGCUGUACGGACAUCAACAGGUGGAGGGGACCCGGCCUCUAAGCCUCCAGGAGGACCAUGGAGGCUGGGUGGAGGCUGCCAGGCGGCAGCCACAGAGCCUAGCUGUGACAGGAGCCUUCCAGGACCAACGCUGCCUCAGGGGUACAGACGUCCAGCCCGACUUCCCCUGGGGUCCUAGGGCAACUCCCCACCCCACCCUGGCCACCCAUGUGGCUUCACCCCUUCCUCUGGGGGCUGUGGCCUUUGUGUGGCCCAAUCUGGGGCAAAGUCACCCCGGGGCUUUGUCAGACUCCAGGAAGUGACAGUUGACUACCCCAGGCUGCUGAGCUGGUGGGGGGACUGGAGCUGGGGGCCCCACCCUCGGGGCGCCACUCCCCUGGGUCAUCAGAAUGCCGCUCUGGUGCCCCACAGCCCCAGGCUCUCCUUGGGGCCUUUCCUCACCAAAGACUUAGUACCAAUCAAAUCACAGAAACAAAGAUACAGCUCUAAGCCUCCGUAUAUAUUUAAAAGUAGCGAAAUGAUACCCGGAGCUUCCUCCAAGGCCCCUGGUGUAAUAGAAACGUACACACAUGCAUUCAAAUAGAACUCUCCAGACCCACAAAAACCACACUAAAUCAACGUGUGAGCCAAGAUGCUCGUUAGGACCUUUAUUCCCACUGCUUAGCCCACCUGUCCAGGGUGCGGGAGGCUGUUCCGGAACCAUUCAUCAGGCCCAAGACGGUGUUAGCAGCUGGCGAGGGCCUGGGCUUUGGAGUCCUGGCUGCACCCGGGGUCGAGGCCUGGGUGAGCUUAAGAUCUGGGCGACCUUGAGGGGAACCUCAGACCUUCCACGGGUAACAUGGAGAUAGUUCAAGGUCAGCCUGGACAGGGUCUAAGGCCUCGGUGAGAUCACACCGGGCCGGCUGGCCAGGGCCUGGCAGUGCUGGGGAAAUCAGAAGGCUCCAGUUAUCAGAACAAGGGGAGGUACUCUUGGGGACCAUGGGGACCAUGGGGACUCCAGGUCCCCGGAGCACCCCCAGCGCUCCCAGGGAGAGAUGCUUCGGUGCAUCUUCAUAAAUAGUAAAAUGAUAAAAAUGUGCUGCUAGGCAUAUUUUUUAAAGAGAGGACAUUGGUCACACAGGGGACCCAAUGUCCUAAGAAGCCACAUACAGCAGAUAAAAAUCCACCUCUCCCUGGUCCAUAAACCUGACCUAAAUCUUACACAUGAGCUGCAAACGCUAAACAUUUCAUUGGUGUUCCUUUGUUGGCCUUAGCGUUUGGAGCCAGGGCCAGGGACACGAGUUCCCAGCAGAUGCGUCUGUGGCCCCACUUUGAUCUGUGCUCCUGGAGUCUGUGACGCGCCCCACCCCAGAGCUGCUCAGGACUCUGGGGAGCUCAUCCCUGGGCGCAUGUCCACGAGCACCUGCCUGUGCGGCAAGGCCCUGGGCAGGGGCUAGACGCUAAGCAAAGGACAGAUGGACGCCACUGCUCUCUCGGAAUGCAGUGUACUCAGGUGGGUGAGGACAGGAGGCCGGAAGAGAGGAGGGAGGAAGGCAGGGAGGAGGGGGAAGGGCAGGCCGCAGAGCGCCCAAGGCCUGCUCGGUGCCUGCUAAGGUCCUCCACACGGCCCGCUCUCCUGAGAGAGACCUCGCAGAGCCCGGGAGGUGCAAGCACUCAUUGUGCCCGUGUUACAGGUGAGGAAACGAGGCCCAGAGAAGUUAACGUCACUGCCCAGAGACACCCAGCCAGGAGUGUGGGGGCACGCCCGAGCAGGUCCACCUGGAUUCCAGGCUCUCCCAGGCUGCAGUGAGUGAAUUCCCGAGUGGACACAGGUGCAGACACCCACCGUCCGGGCAUGUGAACAGGUCCAGCAGGGCUUUUCAAAACCCCAAGAAUCUGAGAUCAGACAAGCUGACCACCCCCGGAGUGCAUGCACGUGUGUGCGCACACACACAGACACACACACACAGAGAAAGCGUUUUGCCGGAUGCUGAGGGCCCCACCCUGCCUGAUCCUGCCUGCCCACCUCCAUCCCCCACCUGCGGCACUCACAGCCCCUGCGCAGAGCUCCCUCGUCCCCAGAAAGAACCCAGCGAGUGCCCCGCACCUCUCGGCCCUGCUCCCAGACCGCCACAGUGGCCUGCCCACGUCCCUAAAGCAGUGCACACUGCCACGGGAGUGCGGCCCCGCCAUUGCUGAUGCCUGGAAGUCCCUCUGUGGUGUCUCCUGGCUCCCUCGGACUGCACCCCGGGGUCUUUGCUCCAGUGGGGUCUCCUGGGUGAAGCCCACCCCAGCCUCCCCCUGUCUAACUGUGGCCUCAGCCCUCCGUCCCCUGUCUGUCUGGGCAUCUGUUGCCACCUGACAUUUUCU
rnacentral:lncRNA from 1 species